AUGGCUCUUAACCAAGAGUCCACUCCCUCCAGCUCAGCCCCUCUCGUCCUCCGCCCAUCAUCUGUCAUCCCAAACAACGCAGGGAGGGUCUUGCUCUCCACACAGAACGCGCUCUCACAGUGCUCGAUAGGCACGGAGGAGACACGGCCAGCUCCUGGUUCCGUGGCCGGCACGCGGCAGCGGCAGCGUCAGCAGGGGGAGCUGUUCCCGUGGAGCUGCGGCGGGGAGGGGACAGCUCGUGAGACAAGGCAGGACCCCGAGAAUUCUUAUCUCACGCAGCCUCAGACACAGGGGCCCAGCAGACGGAGUCUAGCGCUGAGCGUGGCUGCCCUGGCCGUCUCCAAGUGCAGCACCCACGGCAUGAGCCACGAGAGGCAGUGGGCCCUGGGAAGGCGCCUGCCCCGGCAGCAACGCCUCUCUUGGCUUCCCAGGACACCGCACGCAUGGCCACACAGCACACGGCGCCCAGCAGCUCUCGGGCCAGCCCAGCCCCGCGGCUCACUCAGCGCGCUCCUCGUCACCAAGGUCACAGCACUCAGAGACCACCCAUCUAGUUAUGGGUUACAUUUUUAUUUCUGGAAUAUAAAGAUUGAAUGGGGGGGUGUGGAGAAAGGGGUUAAAAAAGCGGACUUUGAAACCAACAGCUUCUGGUGUCUCCUUCAUGAUACAAACCACAGGCCGGGAUACCCAGGCAGGCAGCUCCAGCAGGGCCGGGGGUGGGGGUGCGGGACCUUCCUCUCAUUCCGCCUGGGGUCGAUGUCCCCGACGGGGUGCGGCCCGGACCAGACUGGGGCUGCACCAGUCUUCCUUACGCUCCAGCAGUGCAGACAUUCUGAAAACGUGGACGCCCCGCCCCCAAACCUCCACGCGCAAUCCCUUCCCAGCCCCUUGCCAGGCCCUGGCCGAGCCGUGCGGGCAGAGCUGCGCUGUUCUCUGCUGCUCGCACUCUGCCAGCCUCUCACAAGGAAACAGGGCCCGGUGCACGCUCUGGUCGGAGAGCAAAGCGCAUCUCCGAGAGUCUUGAACUUGACACACUGGCUAGCAGCGUUUUCCCAGGAGACAGGGGUGCGGGCAGAAGGGCGGCGCAGGGAAGCGAGGGGGCCGGCACCCAGGCCAGCGUCUCCCGCCGCAGCGAUGAGCAAAGUGCAGCGAGUAUGUGUGUGGCCCACGCCUCACCCCGGACAUUUCUGA
rnacentral:lncRNA from 1 species